rnacentral:rRNA from 1 species
CCCUUAGAUGUUCUGGGCUGCACGCGUGCUACACUGAUAUUGCCAAUAUGUCAUUCUUAUCCGAAAUGGGUUGGGUAAUCAAGUAAUGAAAUUUCAUGCUUGGAAUCGGUAAUUGCAAUUUUAUCGUGAACGAGGAAUUCCUAGUAAGCACUAGUCAUCAGCUAAUGUUGAUUAUGUCCCUGCCCUUUGUACACACCGCCCGUCGCUACUACUGAUUGGGUGUUCAAGUGAGAUGCUUAGACCCUUGUUGCAUGGUUCAUUAUUGUGCUCCGAAAGGAAAAAGUUUCAAGCUUGAGUGUCUAGAGGAAGUAAAAGUCGUAACA